CCUACGGGUGGCAGCAGUGAGGAAUAUUGGUCAAUGGGCGCGAGCCUGAACCAGCCAAGUCGCGUGAGGGAAGACGGUCCUAUGGAUUGUAAACCUCUUUUGUCGGGGAGCAAAAGACGCCACGCGUGGCGUUCCGAGAGUACCCGAAGAAAAAGCAUCGGCUAACUCCGUGCCAGCAGCCGCGGUAAUACGGAGGAUGCGAGCGUUAUCCGGAUUUAUUGGGUUUAAAGGGUGCGCAGGCGGAAGAUCAAGUCAGCGGUAAAAUUGAGAGGCUCAACCUCUUCGAGCCGUUGAAACUGGACGCCUUGAGUUCACAACAGGCAGGCGGAAUUCGUGGUGUAGCGGUGAAAUGCAUAGAUAUCACGAGGAACCCCGAUUGCGAAGGCAGCCUGCCGGGGUGCGACUGACGCUGAGGCUCGAAGGUGCGGGUAUCAAACAGGAUUAGAUACCCCAGUAGUC
rnacentral:rRNA from 1 species